rnacentral:rRNA from 1 species
UACAGGGGGGGCAAGCGUUGUUCGGAAUUACUGGGCGUAAAGGGCUCGUAGGUGGCCAACUAAGUCAGACGUGAAAUCCCUCAGCUUAACCGGGGAACUGCGUCCGAUACUGGUUGGCUUGAGUUUGGGAGAGGGAUGCGGAAUUCCAGGUGUAGCGGUGAAAUGCGUAGAUAUCUGGAGGAACACCGGUGGCGAAGGCGGCAUCCUGGACCAAUACUGACGCUGAGGAGCGAAAGCCAGGGGAGCAAACGGG